rnacentral:lncRNA from 1 species
CCACGCUCUCCUCUUUCCCUUAUUCUUUCCGUACGCAAAUCCUACAAGAACAUUCUUGAAUUUGAAAUUCGAAUUUGGUACUAUUGCUAGCCGUUUGAACCAAGAAUUUGAAUGCAUUCUAGACCUCAUCCGAUUUCCCCCCCAAAAAUCCCCUCUAUUUAAACCCCCCUUUUACCUUCAAUUUUGGGGGAUGAUAAAAGAUAGAGGUUGGAAAAUACAAGAAAUUCACCAAGCAUAGACAGGCAAAAAUCCAAAUAGUGUUUAUAUCACUGAGAUUUCUGGGUCCUCUUCGAGUUUCCGUCGUUGGUGGUUGAAAUCAGCUCACCCAAGGUCGUCGUUGUUCCAGUGUAAAGGUAAUGUUUCCUCCAUAAUCUUCUCUUCGUCUUCUUCUAUUUCUAAUACUCUGUUGUUGUGUCAUUGUUAUUUGUAGAUGACUUCAAUUUUCUAUAUAUAUAAAUGUGUGUUUUCUUAAUCGAUUUUCUUGAUUCAAUCUUAAUGUGGAAGUCGGGUUUUGCCGUUUUGUAUUGUCGCUUCUUUGUUUGAAUCCGUUAUCGAUUACUAACUAUUCUUCUGGUAUGCUUGAUGAUAUGUCGUAGAAUCUCUCUUCUUCCGUUUUCAUUGUCUGUAAACCCAAGUUUUACAUUAAGUUUUGCUACUGUCAAUGAUGAUUUCUUUUCAAAAUAAGGAUAGCAUCUCGAAAGCGAAGGUUGUUUGUGUUUUAUCUAUUGUUUUGUUGAUGUAGUAGUUUGUUUUCAAAUCCCCUGUUCGUUCUACUGCUUAGUUUGAAUCAAAUUUGUGUUUCCAUCUGCCUAAAUUUUAGUCGAAAGUGCUCACCAUUUGUAGUUAAGCUCAUAAGGUGUUACUGAUUGUAGUUUGCUUCAAUUCUUGUUUUACUUUCACAGUCGUUGCCUAUUUCUCUUUUCUGAUCAUCUUGGCCUGCUCAUAUUUUCAAUCUUUCUAAGUCUUUGAAGUUUCGCUUUGUUAAAAGUUUGAGUUAAAUAAAAUAUAAUGGGUCAAUCUUGUUCUCUUAGGGUCACUAGUCCCUGCGUUGUUUUUUUCUUUAGCAUAUUUUUCUUUUUUAUUUUGGUUAGUAAUCCUCUUAUCUUGUUGGCCUUAUUGUUCAAUUCAUAAAAGAUUAGGAAGUGUUUCAACAGUUAUUUAAGUAUUAUAUGUUUACUUUUGUUUUAUUUGAAAUCUACUAAUCUAUCCUUUCCUUUCCUUAAAUUGGUCUCUUGUUUAUUUAUUACUAUAUAAUUUCCUAAAGCUCUUACCAUUUAAGUUUAAGCUUGUCUAAAUAAAAGUGACUUAAUGAAGUGUGCUAAAUAUUGCUUUCCCAAACUUAAUUUAUUUAUGACUUUUGGUGGGCUGUCGAUUUUUUUUUUGAUUCAGUUAUUAUGUAUGCCUCAUGUAUUUACUCCUCUGUUUUCUUUUUCUUUUCUUGGAUGCAUGUGAUGCUGAGUCCACUGGACUCCCCCUUUCUUCAUUUGCAUUGCAUUUUUGAGUCUAGGAGGCUCAAAUCUUAUUCUUGUCGAGUCUGAAAUUGAUAUACAGGGCCGGAGCAGAUGUAUACUUUAGUGUAUACACCAUAUACAAGCAUUGGAGGUGAAAACAGGUUGAUAUACAGCCCAUAUACAAUCAGUAUACACUGAUAUACAGGUUAAAAUAUAGAUAGUACAGGGC